rnacentral:rRNA from 1 species
UACGUAGGGUGCAAGCGUUGUUCGGAAUUAUUGGGCGUAAAGCGCGUGUAGGUGGCUAGUUAAGUUGGGUGUGAAAUCCCUGGGCUCAACCUAGGAAGGGCACUCAAUACUGGCUGGCUAGAAGAUAGUAGAGGAUGGUGGAAUUCCAAGUGUAGAGGUGAAAUUCGUAGAUAUUUGGAGGAAUACCGGCGGCGAAGGCGGCCAUCUGGGCUAUUCUUGACACUGAGACGCGAAAGCGUGGGGAGCAAACAGG